rnacentral:piRNA from 1 species
UGCCUUACUUUUUGUAUGUGAUGAGUGG